AGUCACUGACAUUAGAUACCCCUGUAGUCCAGGGUGUAAACGCUGCAGACUUGGUGUUGGAAAUCCUUCGAGGGUAUUCAGUGCCGGAGAGAAGUUGUUAAGUCUGCUACUUGGGGAGUACGUCCGCAAGGAUGAAACUUAAAGGAAUUGGCGGGGGAGCACCGCAACGGGAGGAGCGUGCGGUUUAAUUGGAUUCAACACCGUAAAACUCACCAGGGAAGACUGUUACAUGAAGGCCGAGAUGAAGACUCUGCUAGAUUUUCAG
rnacentral:rRNA from 1 species